AUAAAAACAUAACAACAAACAUUAAAAAAUUAUUUUAAAAAAUGAAAUCAACCCUGAGCAUAAAAAGGGGGCAACAUUUAGAAUACUCAUAGACCUAUCCUAUACAUGUCUAUUCUGUUCAAUGAGACUUACUCCUUAGUGUGUGUAGCUAGGAAUGCACCAUAUAAAAAAUAAAACACAAGGACAGAGAAAUUGUGCUUUUGUAGGUCUGACUAAAUCUGCUCUAAGAAGUUACCUUUCGCUGCAUUUCAAGAAGAUCUUCUGAGCCGCAGCUCUUCAAUGUACAAUGUUCAGGGAUUGUCCCAGCUUUUCAGGUCAUCUUGGCAGCAUUUAUAUACAAUUUUAAAAUAGUCUUUAUCAAGGAUUCCAGUGGUGGGGCAGAAAUGGGGAGCAACACAAUGUGAAGCCUGAGCCACUGACAGGCAGAGCCAACUAUUUCUAUAUUUCUCCCCAUCCCUUUCCUCCUCGCUGAGUUCUUCAAGGACAGCUAUCUGAAGAAGUGCAUGCACACAAAAGCUCAUACCAAUCACAAACUUACGGUAGUUGGUCUCUAAGGUGCUACUGGAAUGAUUUUUUAUUUAUUUUGUUUCAAAUACAAUUUGCACAUCCUGCUUUUCCCAGGGCAAUACCCUCCCUGCAAAACAGGCUUGCCAAAGUGUCUCCACAAUCCUGAAGCCAGCACCGAUUCACUGUGGAAGGAUGUGUGGAUCCAGAAUUGGCCUCCAAGGUCACUUACGGACACACCGUUAAGACCGUGUUUAUGGAAGACCAUCUUACUCGGCUACAAUUGAUUGCCAGAGAAGAAAGAUGAUUUAUUACCGGUAUAUGCCUUGCCACAGUGCUAUUUUUCUAGAUAAAGAGGUUAUGGAACUCACUAUGUACGCCUCCCUUGUUCUCUUAAAAUGGCAAUGGCAUAUACCUGAGAGGUGCCAGAAAUGAGUUCCGGAGAGUUCUGGCUGGAAAACAAACUAGUCUGUUGUUCUAAGAUAAACGCUCAUCAAGGCCCUUAGAUGGUACAAAUGAAAUAAUGUCCAAAAAUGUGUCCUAUACCAAAAUGUAUGCAGCCCCUUCCAAGCAUGUCUACUCCAAAGUAAAUCCUAUUGAGUUCAGUUGUGCUUACUUCUAGGUAAGUGGGUAAAGAAUCAUGUGAAGCAACAUGUGAAGAACCAAAUAUGGAUAUGGGUGAUCAGUGAUUUCCCCCAGUGUUUUUGUAAGAAAAAUGAAAAUGCAGAAACAACCAUUUCAAACUUGGCUGUGUAGAUUUAUUUUAAUGACUAUGUCCAUUUCAGACUUAAGCAUUCUUUAAAAUAUGUAUUUGCCGCUCUUCUUAUUAAAUCUGAACUGCUAGGCAUGGCAUAUAGCAAUGAGAGAAGCAAUUUCCAAAUCUUCUGGAGGGAAAAGCCGUAUAAAUGGAAGGGAUUGGCGUUAUGAAGUAUUAACGGGAUGUUAAAUUGCUGCAUAUCAUAUUUGCAAUGGGCAGUUUACAAUCUGUUCAUCCUGAUGGAUUUAGCACUAGGGAGUCUGAAGCCCUGGCUCGGCAAUUUCUGUCUGCUGUUGGUAAUUUAUGGCGAAACUGUACCCACAAAUAAUGUGUCAGCACAGAAUGAAUUUGGGACCCAGCUCUGCCCAAACGGCUCCAUUAUGUUCUCAGGGGCAGUAAUGAAUGGAAAGUAAGGAAAAGUUGCCAUAGAGAUAAUGAAUCUGAAUACUAAUGGCUUGUGCUUGUGCAAAAAUAGGAUUGCAAUUUAUCAGGAGUUACCAAAUCCAUUCGGUGCCUCAAAUGAGGGUUUUUUUGGAGGAAAAAGAUGCCAGUCAUUUAAGACCAAGUUAGGUUUAGUUUUGCAUUUUACUGUAACCCUUUAAUGGCAUGCGUGCAAAAACUCAAAAUGGAAACACUGUCCCUCUGUCUCCAGAUCCGCACAUACACUUUGAAACUGCCUGCCUGCCUAUGAUCCGCCAGAGAAUCCAUUGUCUAUAGAAUGCAGGUGGGAAUGCUGUUCUUUCCCCUCAAAGAGGCGACCAGGGUAAUAAACAAUGGCAUAUUCCUUCAAAGCCUACAAAUAUGCUUCAGCACCGAUAUUUCCCUGCACGGCUAAUGAAAAAAGAGCAUCUAAACUGGACCACAUUCAGCCAGUAUUGGGAAAGGAGCACAAAAAAGAUUCAUAGUCUGAAGAGGAAGUGAAUCCUGGCUUCCUGCUAGAGAACCAACCACUUUAACAAAUUGGGAACAUAGCUAAAGAGCUAAGAUUGAAAUGCCACAAGUUACUCGGUUGUAGAGAGGAAUUAUUGAGAAGCUUGCAACUCCUGGAAAAAUUGACAAGACAAGGCUAUCGGUAAUAUAGUGAAUGAACGGGACAGAACUACUGUACCUGUAUAGCAACUACAACAACAAGAACAGAAAGAAGCAGAAGUCCCAGCAACGGAAGAAUGGAUACAAAAACUCAUGGAAUAUGCAGAAAUGGCAAAGCUUACCAGUAGAAUAAGAAAUCAAGAUAAGAAACUUUUUCUAAACAAAUGGAAAUGGUUUAUUGAAUAUUUACUGAACGUUGGCAGGAUUAUUGUAAUAACCUGCAGUUUUAUAAGUACCCGUGUUUCUCAUAUUAUAAGACAUGUCUUAUAUUUAUUUUUUCCUCAAAAAAACACACUAUGGCUUAUUUUCAAGGGAUGUCUUAUUUUUUUCCUCCUCCUCCUGCCGCGGCCGGCAUUGCUGCUGCGCCUAUCAUUAUGUCUUAUUUUCGGGGUAUGGCUUAUAUUCCUUGAAUGCUUAAAAAUCCUGCUAUGGCUUAUUUUAUGGGUAUGUCUUAAAAUAUGAGAAACAGG